rnacentral:rRNA from 1 species
UACGUAGGGCGCAAGCGUUAUCCGGAAUUAUUGGGCGUAAAGGGCGCGUAGGCGGUCGGAUAAGUCUUGUGUGAAAUCUUCGGGCUCAACUCGAAGUCUGCACAGGAAACUAUCUGGCUUGAGUGUGGGAGAGGUGAGUGGAAUUCCUGGUGUAGCGGUGAAAUGCGUAGAUAUCAGGAGGAACACCUGUGGCGAAAGCGGCUCACUGGACCACAACUGACGCUGAGGCGCGAAAGCUAGGGGAGCAAACAGG